UUUCACCAAUUAUCCAAUCACACAUCCCCAAUCAGAGUAUAUAAGGUCCCCUGACUUCUCUCUCCUCAGUUGUGUGGGAGAGGAGCCAGGGGACAGAGCUUGAAGAACCAGACCCGGUAUGCAACAUUGUCACGUGUGCUUUCAAUACACUAAAACACUACUGAACUGGCCAGGUGCCCAAACUUGGGUUCAAAUUGAUGGCGAGCUAGGAACUGUCCUUUUGAGAGCUUCGGUC